AUUGAACGCUGGCGGCAGGCCUAACACAUGCAAGUCGAGCGAUCGGCGGACGGGUGAGUAAUGUAUGGGGACUGCCCGAUCGAGGGGGCUAACUACUGGAAACGGUGGCUAAUACCGCUUAAUAUCCGAUAACCCAUAUGGGAUUAGCUAGUAGGUGGGGUAACGGCUCACCUAGGCGACGAUCUCUAGCUGGUCUGAGAGGAUUAUCAGCCACACGGGGACUGAGACACGGCCCAGACUCCUACGGGGGCAGCAGUAGGGAAUGUUGCACAAUGGGCGAAAGCCGGAUGCGGCCAUGCAGCGUGUAUGAAGAAGGCCUUAGGAUGGUAAAGUACUUUCAGCAGGGAGGCGUUACCUGAAGAAGAAGCACCGGCUAACUACGUGCCAGCAGCCGCGGUAAUAC
rnacentral:rRNA from 1 species